CAGUUCGGAUUGCAGCCUGCAACUCGGCUGCAUGAAACUGGAAUCGCUAGUAAUCGCGGAUCAGAAUGCCGCGGUGAAUACGUUCCCGGGUCUUGUACACACCGCCCGUCACACCAUGGGGAGUUGGAAAUGCCCGAAGUCAGUGGCCCAACCUACGGGAGGGAGCUGCCGAAGGCAGGUUCGAUGACUGGGGUGAAGUCGUAACAAGGUAUC
rnacentral:rRNA from 1 species